CAUAAUCUGAAAUGUACGCGUUGUCUCACAAUGUAAGGUUGACCGAACACUUAUAUACCUUGGCUUUUGAAAUAUUUUGUGGAUAACAUGCCCAUAUUGUUUGGGAAGUUAGAAGUUAAAUUAUCAGAAACCACCUGCUUGUUUGCGGGUUCAACUACAGAGACGAUUAACGGCAUUAGACGGAUUCCAA
rnacentral:other from 1 species